CAAGUAGAUCACAUGGUUGGGCGUAUACUGAUCUUGUGACUGGAGAGAUAUCAUAUCAACACAGGACAGGGGACAACUUAGAGGAAUCAUCCUGAAUUCGACCCAGGAACCUACGUUGUCAUCAGUUUUGAUCUCUCAUGAAUCACCACUAGUCGAGAUUUCGCAGUUGCGUUCCUUAGUAUGUCAUGCGGAAGGGACAGGUUGCCACAGGUGUGUACCAUGGCGGGAUUACGUUAUUUCAAGAUGGCGACGGCACGAGCUAAGUAAGUUACAGAAUUCCUCACCUGUGUGAUCUGCCAGGAACUGUACACAGACCCCUGUACACUGAGGUGUGAUCACACAUUCUGCAGGAAAUGUGUCACAGGAUACAUCCAAACCAGACCAGAUGCUGUACAGUCCAAGACGA